AACCCGAAAACAAUGGCAAAGAAAUAUGCACUGAGUCAUAUAUUCUACAAAAUAGACUGUACUCUCCUCUCCCUGAAAUCACGACACUUUAAUUCUUGGAUUUUUCCACAUUUUCGUAGCUAAGGCUCCUGUUUGCUUUCUUUGAAUCUCUAUCAGUUCUCGCAGCUCUGCCCAGGGGGAAAGCCCUGCCACUGUAGCCCUUGCACUGUUAAGAGGAGCCAAAGCAAAUUGUCCUGAAGAAGGAUGCCUCUGCAGUUCACUGUGCUCAGUUUUAUCAUCGCUGAUGCUUAUAGUAACCCAGGUGCCAUGGAAACACCACAGAAAAUGCCACAGAGUUCACCGGUCCUCAGACAGAUCCCGAGUUUUGCGUAGAAGCUCCGCGUGAAGCAUGUUUGACUUUGAGCGCUGCUCUUGCAGACCCGAGCUGUGAAGAACAGGUUCUGCGCACUUGGUUCUCUCCCAUAAUUCCUCACCCCA